UACGGGAGGAGCAGUGGGGAAUAUUGCACAAUGGGCGCAAGCCUGAUGCAGCCAUGCCGCGUGUAUGAAGAAGGCCUUCGGGUUGUAAAGUACUUUCAGUCGUGAGGAAGGUGUUAAGGUUAAUAACCUUAGCAAUUGACGUUAGCGACAGAAGAAGCACCGGCUAACUCCGUGCCAGCAGCCGCGGUAAUACGGAGGGUGCGAGCGUUAAUCGGAAUUACUGGGCGUAAAGGGCACGCAGGCGGUUAAUUAAGUUGGAUGUGAAAUCCCCGGGCUUAACCUGGGAAUGGCAUUCAAGACUGGUUAGCUAGAGUCUUGUAGAGGAGGGUAGAAUUCCAUGUGUAGCGGUGAAAUGCGUAGAGAUGUGGAGGAAUACCGGUGGCGAAGGCGGCCCCUGGGACAAAGACUGACGCUCAUGUGCGAAAGCGUGGGGAGCAAACAGGAUUAGAUACC
rnacentral:rRNA from 1 species